GGGCCAUCCUGGAUUUGAACCAGAGACCUCGCCC
rnacentral:tRNA from 2 species